rnacentral:rRNA from 1 species
UACGGAGGGUGCGAGCGUUGUCCGGAAUCAUUGGGCGUAAAGGGCGCGUAGGUGGCCCGGUCAGUCUUUGGUGAAAGCGCGGGGCUCAACCCUGCGUCGGCCAGGGAUACUGCCGCGGCUCGAGCACUGUAGAGGCAGGCGGAAUUCCGGGUGUAGCGGUGGAAUGCGUAGAGAUCCGGGAGAACACCGGUGGCGAAGGCGGCCUGCUGGGCAGUUUUGCUGACACUGAGGCGCGAAAGCGUGGGGAGCAAACAGG